rnacentral:rRNA from 1 species
UGGGGAAUAUUGCGCAAUGGGGGGAACCCUGACGCAGCAACGCCGCGUGAAGGAAGAAGGCCUUCGGGUUGUAAACUUUUUUGAUUGGGGAAGAAAAAAAUGACGGUACCCAAGGAACAAGCCACGGCUAACUACGUGCCAGCAGCCGCGGUAAUACGUAGGUGGCGAGCGUUGUCCGGAAUUACUGGGUGUAAAGGGCGUGUAGGCGGGAUUGUAAGUCAGAUGUGAAAUUCCAGGGCUUAACUCUGGAGGUGCAUCUGAAACUAUAAUUCUUGAGUGCUGGAGAGGAAAGCGGAAUUCCUAGUGUAGCGGUGAAAUGCGUAGAUAUUAGGAAGAACACCAGUGGCGAAGGCGGCUUUCUGGACAGUAACUGACGCUGAGGCGCGAAAGCGUGGGGAGCAAACA